AAAUUUCUAGUAUGGCGGACGCGUAUUCUGGAUUUGGUGAUUCGGAAGAAGGGCGGUACCUCCUUAAGCUUGUCCAAGAACACAAGCUUGGAGAAUUUGCUGGGAAUCACGGGCGAACUAGCAAACAAACUCAAGCUAUUUAGGAGGAGGUGGCAAAUAAAUUCUCAGCAGUGUCCAGUAAACCUUUCACCGGGCCUCAAAUCCAAACCAAAUGGAGAAAUAUGGCUUAUCGUGCAAGAAGGAAAUAUUCCCAAGCCAAGGCGACCAUGUUUAAGACUGGCGGUGGUCCCAAGCCAAAAGAAGCCGAAAUCGAUGACUUGAGCCAAGAAAUAGUCGACGUUACUGGGAGGACCUUCACUAUACCCAAUCCUUAUGAUUGUGGAGAGGGAGAGAACUCUGGAUGGGACAAUUCGUUAGAUGAACAAGGGCGUGCAAGGGAGGUUGUCCACGAUGGAGGAGCCAGCAGUGAUGCUCUUGCAUUGCAACCGGCUGGAGAUUUUCCUGGCACUCUCCCAGUUGCUGAUGGUCCACCGAGCCCUUCUGUACCUGGACGUGCCAAUGCAUCGCGACGAAAACUCGCACCCAAGAGACAGCAGCUGGGGAAGAGGUCAAGACCUUUGUAAGAACAGCCAAGGCAUGCAGGGUGGAAGAGUCUGAGAGUAAGCGAGAACUCUUAAGGCUUUCCAUCUUGGAAAAAGAGGCGUCGCUCAAAUCACUCAAGCGCAAACGUGACAUUGAUGAGGCCCAAUUGGAAUUCGAGACCGAGAGGAAGAAGUUGAUUAUCAUCCAACAAGAAGAGGCGUCGUUCAAGGCCAAGAUUGUGAAGCUUGAAUUUGCUGCCAAAAAGGUGGAGAUUCAAAG